rnacentral:lncRNA from 1 species
AAAAUCAUUAUAGAAAGAAUAGUUCAAAGCUUUGUCAUUGUUUUAGAAAAUUUGGAGCCGACUUUUGGGAGAUUUAAACAGUAGAAGUCAACGAGAAGGAGAAAAUCUCUUAUUUGGUGUCGAAAUCGGCACGAAUGACUAUCGUAAACGACGACAUCGAAGCCUAUUGAGUACAACAGCUAGGGUAUUCAAUUGAGAAGAAUAAGGGAGAGAAAUAAAUUAAAAUAUAAUAAAAAA